ACUCCUUGUGUCUCUUCCAGAGGGGACACAACAUUCCAGAAUCCCACAGGAAAGAUUCUACCAUCUCCACAGCUGCCCUCGCCGCAGUCCUCCCUACUGUUGGAGAAGAUGCCCCCAAUAACUGGGGUGUCUCGAGCUAGUGGACACAUCAUGGAGCUGGGAGGUAGAACACUGGAUGAGCCACAGAAAGCACACAGGACUUUGCUGUGGAAGAGUCAAAGAUCCACGUGGGAGCAUCCCGUAGGGGACUUGCGUUUCAGAUCAGAUGAUGCUUUUCAUGUAUGUCCAGCAGCAAGAGAGUCCUUCACUGGUGAAAAAUCACGGGCCUCAGAGCAGAUUUUAGUUCAUCUUUCAUUUCAAAGCACUCCUUAGAUAUCUGCAAAUUAAAUCCCCUAAUUUGGUGAGGACGCCCAGCUUCCCAAAUAACAAGGCUUUUCCUUUGAUUCUAACCAAGUGAGCCGGCCCUGCAAAAGCCGGGGUGCGUGUUCUGGCUCCAGGCUUCUGAGCAGCCUUUCUCCCCACGCUGCAGCUUUUCAGUUAGGAAGUCAGAGAGAAGGAAAGAGAACUAUUUCCAAUUCAAUCACGAGCAUGUCUACGCACCACUGAAGACAGACCUUUGUCCUGUUGCUUUCCAAACUUUAAAUGUGAAUUUUUCUUCUUA
rnacentral:lncRNA from 1 species